GCGGAACACGUGUGCAACCUGCCUUUAUCAGGGGGAUAGCCUUUCGAAAGGAAGAUUAAUACCCCAUAAUAUAAUUGAUGGCAUCAUUAAUUAUUGAAAACUCCGGUGGAUAGAGAUGGGCACGCGCAAGAUUAGAUAGUUGGUAGGGUAACGGCCUACCAAGUCAGUGAUCUUUAGGGGGCCUGAGAGGGUGAUCCCCCACACUGGUACUGAGACACGGACCAGACUCCUACGGGAGGCAGCAGUGAGGAAUAUUGGACAAUGGGUGAGAGCCUGAUCCAGCCAUCCCGCGUGAAGGACGACGGCCCUAUGGGUUGUAAACUUCUUUUGUAUAGGGAUAAACCUUUCCACGUGUGGAAAGCUGAAGGUACUAUACGAAUAAGCACCGGCUAACUCCGUGCCAGCAGCCGCGGUAAUACGGAGGGUGCAAGCGUUAUCCGGAUUUAUUGGGUUUAAAGGGUCCGUAGGCGGAUCUGUAAGUCAGUGGUGAAAUCUCAUACUUAACUAU
rnacentral:rRNA from 1 species